CUCUGCAAACACGAAAGUGGACGUAUAGGGUGUGAUGCCUGCCCGGUGCUGGAAGGUUAAUUGAUGGGGUCAGCCGCAAGGCGAAGCUCUUGAUCGAAGCCCCAGUAAACGGCGGCCGUAACUAUAACGGUCCUAAGGUAGCGAAAUUCCUUGUCGGGUAAGUUCCGACCUGCACGAAUGGCGUAACGAUGGCCACACUGUCUCCUCCCGAGACUCAGCGAAGUUGAAAUGUUUGUGAUGAUGCAAUCUACCCGCGGCUAGACGGAAAGACCCCAUGAACCUUUACUGUAGCUUUGUAUUGGACUUUGAACGGAUCUGUGUAGGAUAGGUGGGAGGCUUUGAAGCGGGGACGCCAGUUCUCGUGGAGCCAUCCUUGAAAUACCACCCUGGCAACUUUGAGGUUCUAACUCUGGUCCGUUAUCCGGAUCGAGGACAGUGUAUGGUGGGUAGUUUGACUGGGGCGGUCUCCUCCUAAAGAGUAACGGAGG
rnacentral:rRNA from 1 species